GCCCUCGUAGUUCAAUGGAUAGAACUGCGCACUCCUAACGCGCGGAUAGAGGUCCGAUUCCUCUCGGGGGCA
rnacentral:tRNA from 1 species